rnacentral:lncRNA from 1 species
AAGGCUCCUGUCCAAACAUGUGGCAGUUUAUUCCUUUUCUGAAAUGAUGAUGCCAGUGACUAUUUAUUGAGUAUUCAUUGGGUGCCAGGCACGCCACGUGCAAAAUUUCAUUGAAGUCCCAUGUUGGUCUCGAUGAGAAAGCUGAGACUCAGAGAGGCUAAGUGACUUACCUGCUGGAACCCAGCCUUCCCUGCCCAGGUUCUUGACCUCCCUUCACCUGAGUAUCGGUCAGGAUGGCUGGGGGCAGCACUCUGAAAUCUCUAAUGUGCACACAGAUCCUCUGAGGCAUCCUGUCCAAUUGCAGAUUCUGAUUCAGCAGAUCUGAGGGGAGCCCAAGAUUCUGCAUUUCUAACAAGUUCCCAGGUGAGGCCAACGCAGCUGCUCUGCAGGCCACCCUUUCAGUGUAAAGGGACUAGAUGAUGCAGUAACAAACAUCCCCCAAAUCUCAGUGGGUUAAAAUAACAAAGACUCCUUUCUUGUUCAGCACAGCUGAAUGGAGGGCUCCACCUCAUAUCCUCCUCACCUUAAGAACAAGGAUAAUAGAAGAGCUCUCAUUUGGAAUACAGACACUCAUGAUGGCAAGAGAAAAAGACUUCUGGGGAGGUCUUACACCCACAAGGAAAUGCUCCCGUGAGGAAGUGAUGCAUGUUACUUCUGUUUGAAGUUCACUGGCUAGAAUUAGCCACAUGAUCCCACCCAAUCACAAGGAGGACAGCGAUCAUCUACAGCAUUUGUGAAAGAUGGAAAGGGAGGAAUAUUUGGUAAGCAUCGGUAAAACUAUCACGACCUGCCUACAAGAUCAUCCAUCAAAUAUUUAACAGGUACUUCUUAAGCAACCAAUACCAAGUGAGGUACCUUACUCUGUGUGGUAUUUAAUAAUUCUUUGUUCCCUUUCACAUUAACUCUAGCUACUUCAACAAUAAAAAGGAAAACAAUUGAAUAAUUGAAUGUAUGGCAAUUUAGACAUGCACGCACACACACACACACACACACACACGCAAAUAUCAAAAGUUUUGCAACUUUAAAAUAUGCAGUGAUUACAAAUGAGAUUUUUUGACGUAUGCAAAAUUUGAAUUGCACAAGACUUUCCAAAAUAAAACUAUUGCAUAAGCUGGGAGUAUCCUUGUUUCGUAAAUGGAAAUGAUUCUGUAUGCAGAGUUUUGCAUAUUGCUUGUAUUUUCUAUCAUUUUGUGCUCAUAGUUGUCUGCAUCUUGGGUUUUACAGACUAUAUCAUUUUCUCAGGCUAUUAUUUACAAUAUAUUUAAUCAAUCAUCUGUUGAAUAUUUAGUUUUGUUUCGACCCUUUUUUUGGCUAUUAUUUUCAACAGUACAAUGACUAAGCUGUUAGCCAAAUAUUUCUGCGUAUUUAUAUUUAUUCCUUUAGAAUGAAUUCCUAGAAGUGAAAUUACUCAAGCAAAGAAUAUUAAUACUUUUAAGGGUUUUGAUGUAGAAUAAAAAUGUUGUAAUAAAGCUAUGUCAAUUCAGAAUCCCAUCAGCAUUAUAUGAAUGUCCAUUUCAUCAAACCCUGACAAGAAUGGGAAAUAGGUUUUAAUUGUACAUUUGAGAGUCAAAUAUAUUAUUGCAAUUAUAGCUUGUGUUUCUUUGGUAACUAAUGUGUAUGAAUAUUUUUUAAUAUUCAUUAGUGAAUUUUUUCUUCUCUGUCAUUUAUUAGUUCAUGCCCCUUUUACAUUUUAUUUUCCUUUUGAGUUUUAGAGCAUUGCUUAUGCUAGGAUGACUUUAUGUAAAAAGGCACUUAACACUUUGCUUAACAUAUAUGUAGCUAAAAUUCUUUCCAAGUUGUCUCUUGUCGUAUAGUUGUCUUUUUAAAAAUAAAUAAGCAUUAUUGUAGGAGAUCUGAAUUGGUGGAGAACUUAUGGGAGUAAUUUGACAAUAUGUAUCCCAAAUUUUGAAAAGCUAAUAUUCCUUGACUAAGCAAUUCCAUUUCUAGGAAUUUUUCUUAAGGAAAUCCACAUGAAUGUGGAAAAAUAUUUAGGUAUCAGGUUAUUCCUUAUAGUGUUUCAAAUGAUAGCAAAAAGAGGUCUUUAUUUUAUUUGAGGCCUACCCAUUUUAUCUUCCUCUAUCUUCCCCUUUUAUUGUUUGCGUAUUUAUUAUGUCUCAGCUACUGCACUAGAAGAGAAAAAGCUGUCAUUUUAGUACUCUUUUGGGUUUUUUUUCCCCAUGGUUAAAAAUGGUGUAUGGAUAAAUAGGUAAAUAGAAAGAUAGGUGAAGAGAUAGAUCAUAGAGGAUAGAUAGAUAGAUAAUGGUGAUAAUAGAUGAUGGAUAGAAGUAAUAGAUGGAAAGAUAAUAUAACAGAUGAUAUAUAGCUGAUGGGUAGAUGAUUGAUAUAUAAUAGAUAAGUACACGAUAGAUGAUGGGUAGAUAGGUAGAUGGAUAGGUAAUAGAUACAUGGUAGAUAAUAGAUAGAUGAUAGCUAGCUAGCUAGACUGAGAGAUAGAUAAAUACAGAUCAGUAUCUUUGACGCACCAGUUCUCCACAUUAAAUGUGCAUCAGAAUCACAUGCACAGUGCUAGUCACUUAGACACAUCUGGGCUCCUCCCCCAGAAGGAAUGAUUCAGUUGAGUUGGGUGGGGCCCUCCUCGGUGGAGGAAAGAACAUCAACAGUGCUCCUGGGAACAGAAGCUGAUUAUCAGAGAGAACAAAUAAGAGGGCAGCUUAAGUCCCCAAUGAGGUAGAAAGCUACAGAGUAAAUUUUCAAGUUCCUGCCUAACUUAGAAUAGAGCCCACACUCCUCAGUCUGGUCCCAGGCUCUCCCACCCCCAACUCAGCCCCAGAACAAGGGUCAGAGCUCACCUGUUCCCCAGCUCUCCAGCCUCAGUGCCCCCAGCUCUGCUGAUCUUUGAUUCUGCCAGGCCAGUUACCUCCCCAGGGCCUUUGUUCUACUGUUCCCUCUGCCAGGAUGCUCUUACCUGAGAUGUGACCAUCUCUAUUUAACACUCAGCUCAAAACUCACAUCCUCAGAGUUAUACCCUCCAUGGCUCCUCUACUUCAAAGCACCACCCUGAUCCCCUGUAACCAGGUGUGCCUCAUGGCCAUGACUCUGGGCUCUCUCUUCCAUCCUUCCUCCAUGGCUCAGUCCUCUCCAUCCUUUGUCUCACUAAGGCUCCCCCUAACCUCCUCAGGCCCUGCUAUAAGUUGUCAGUAACUCAGCUCCUUCUAGUUCAUCUCCAGAUGGGACCACGGAGUUGACAACACAUUACCUUCCAAUGGCUUCCCUUUCCUCCUAACCCAUAUCCUAUGUGUCAUUAUGCUGGAAGGUGAUACAUCUCCCUGCCUUUUGUUGUGCUACCAAACACCCCUUCCAGUCCCCCAACUUUAGUAUAUGACAAGCUAGAGUGGAGCCAGGGAACAUAUUGGUCCCAUACAUGAAUUGUCUCCCUGAUCCCUUGACAACUCAGAGUGAGAUUUUGUUUCUUUCCAUAAAAAAUAAGGCAGCAUAUGUGGUGGUGAGAGAUAUUAGCUACACUUAACUGUGGUGAUCAUUUCACUAUAUUCAGAGAUAGUCAUGAAGGCUGAGACCUUCUCCCUCCCAUCAAGGAUCUCUCAGGCACGUCCAAUUCACCACAGUCCCCACCACUCCCUAGUGUUACCCUUAGCUUGCCUCACUCAUUUCAUACUCCUGAAAACAUUUGAGAUUCUGAUCUCUGUUGUUGAAAUUGUUAAGGAGUUUGGAGAAGGUUUGAAGCAGGGUAGUGGCAGAAUCUGUCUUAUUGUUUAUGGGGGAAACAGAUGCACAAUCCCAGUAGAGUUACCUAAGUGAUAUUUGAGCAACUUGGAUGUGCUUGGUCCUAUUUAGGUAAUGGACACUGAUCUGAGUGCUAUGAUAAGGGUGAGACAGGUUGCCCUGGGAAGGUACCAGAGCAUCUCUUUCCUCAGUCUGUGACUUCCUAAUGGAAGGAGGUGACUGAGUGAGCUAAAAAAAAAAAAUCCAUAAGGGUUAAAAUACUAGGUGAAGAAACAGGAGUACAAAUCUCAGGGUGAGGUCACAAGGGUAUUCAAGGAACUAUGAGUAGUUCAGCCUAGAGGACAGAGGGUGAUAAGAGUGAAGACUAUGGAAAGGGAAGUACAUGCCAGGGUUUCUAACCUGCUAAUCCAGAGGCCAGAUAUGACCCAUACACAUGCAUUUUUUGGACUCAUGUCAAGACCAUUUUGGAAAUGAUUAACAUCUUAAAAUUAGCAGAUUUCACGUAAAGAUAUCCAACUUAUUUUUUAAAUGGAGAACAUCUGACUAUACUGAACCCACAUUUGCAUAUGUCAGCCAUGUACUGGGGCCCAGUAACUGCUGGUUCUUGUCUUUCCAGUUUGCCACAGUCCCCACCCUUCUCUAUUGUAUUCCACCUCACUUAUGUAUGUACUUUGAUUGUACACAUGUGUGCUCCCAACAAGGAUGGAGAAAUGAACAAAAGCUAGAUUCCCAGACCCUUGUAGGCUAUGGUGAGGAGUUUGGCUUUUAUCUUAAAGCCCAUGAGGAUCUGCCAAAGCAUUUGCAAGAGAAAAACAAUUGGAUUAUUUUCUGGUUUGAAAAAAAAAAAACUCUCCUAUGGGUACAUAUAUGUUCACUAUGGGCUGUUCAUGCAGUAUAUAGCUCCAAAUUGAAAACUACCCAAAUGACAUAAAUGACAAAGGAGAAAUACUUGAGGUAUAUUCACACAAUGAAUCUCAUGCAGCUUUUAAAAUGAAUGAUAUACUGAUGUACAACUACCCAUAAUAACAUGAAGAUGCUCCUCAAAACAAUACUGAGUGCAAGAAGCAUACACAGAAGUAUGCAUACUUUAAAAUUCCUUUCAGGUAAGAAUAAAAAUGGGAAUUCCUGUUAUGGUGCAGUGGGCUAAGGAUCCAGCAUUGUCUUUGCAGUGGCUGGGGUCACUGCAGAAGCAGGAGUUCAAUCCCCAGCCCAGCAUAAUGGGUUAAGGACCUGGCACUGCUGCAGUUGGUUACAGCUGUAGCUUGAUUCAGUCUCUGGCCUGGGAACUUCCAUAUGCUGUGGGUGAGG